rfam:Candidatus Micrarchaeota archaeon CG1_02_55_22 cg1_0.2_scaffold_525_c, whole genome shotgun sequence.
GGGCCCGUAGUCGAGUGGUUAAGACGUUCGCUUCACAUGCGAAAGAUCCGGAGUUCAAUUCUCCGCGGGCCCA